CACUCAGAAAACCAAAAAAAUGAAGUUAUAAAAGUCUGCAAUUUUGUCGUAGCAAUGGUAGCGCCAGUGAAGAUCCAUGGUGGAAAGUGCUAUUUGGAAAUUGGAAUGGUAGAAAUGGAGAAUGAAAGAUGGUGAAUAACAUGUCCGAAAAUCAGCCUAAUCGAAUUAUGGAAAGAGGCUGAGACAGUGGAAAAAGCCAUGGUUUGUAGCUUUGGAUCUAUGGCUUUUGAAGAGGAUUCGUGAAAAUUUAAGCCUAGAUCCAAUAUGAGGAGAUAAAUGUGAACUUUUUGGUGAAAUUUGGAAGCCAACUGGUGUAGUAAGUGGCAACCGAUGGCAACCAGGUGAGUGGUGGUGAUAGCGGUGGAGUGUUGUCGAGUUUUGGAAAUUUGAAGAACACGGUGG
rnacentral:lncRNA from 1 species